rnacentral:rRNA from 1 species
GCGCGGAAGAUGUAACGGGGCUAAACCAUGCACCGAAGCUGCGGCAGCGACACUAUGUGUUGUUGGGUAGGGGAGCGUUCUGUAAGCCUGUGAAGGUGUACUGUGAGGCAUGCUGGAGGUAUCAGAAGUGCGAAUGCUGACAUAAGUAACGAUAAAGCGGGUGAAAAGCCCGCUCGCCGGAAGACCAAGGGUUCCUGUCCAACGUUAA